rnacentral:rRNA from 1 species
UCUUAGACAAUGGGGGCAACCUUGAUCUAGCCAUGCCGCGUGAGUGAUGAAGGCCUUAGGGUUGUAAAGCUCUUUCAGCUGGGAAGAUAAUGACUGUACCAGCAGAAGAAGCCCCUGCUAACUCCGUGCCAGCAGCCGCGGUAAUACGGAGGGGGCUAGCGUUGUUCGGAAUUACUGGGCGUAAAGCGCACGUAGGCGGACCAGAAAGUUGGAGGUGAAAUCCCGGGGCUCAACCACGGAACUGCCUUAAAAACUAUUGGUCUGGAGUUCGAGAGGGGUGAGUGGAAUUCCGAGUGUAGAGGUGAAAUUCGUAGAUAUUCGGAGGAACACCAGUGGCGAAGGCGGCUCACUGGCUCGAUACUGACGCUGAGGUGCGAAAGCGUGGGGAGCAAACAG